CCAAACGGGCUGCAUUACUGACUAACGAGGGGAGCUGGGGGAGCUAGUAAACCGCCGCCCGAUUAUAAUUAGAUUCCAUCGCGUUCCCUGGGUUCAAGUACACGCGCGCGCGCGCUCGCUCGCUGGCGCUCUCUUUGGCUCAGCCGGCAUCUCCAGUUUGUGCGGGGGACAGCAGCGGGCAGUCCGAUACUUCCAAUGUCAAUGCCGGCAUUGGCCAAACAGGCGGCACGCAUCAGGCGCACUGGCCCGACCGGGCGGGAAUCGAUCGGGUCAGGUUGCACACACGGACGCGCACAGUGUAGUUGUAGUAUUGCGCCUCAUCGUCGCGGUAAUACAUCAGUGGUUUUGCAUAUUUUCCAAAUUUCAAUUACAACAAAUAAAUAAUGACUCGCGUUUAGCGUUUAGCCGCUCUUCUAACAACCUGUGUGUGUGUGUGUGUGUGUGUGUGUGUGUGCACUCACAACACUCAUAGUGUAACCGAAAAUAAACGAUACGCGGCCUGCGGACGAGCUGUAAACGAUUGCCGAGGAACGUUUUAUGCAAGGCAGAUGGAGAGAUAUGAUGUACCAUCAGCACGCGCGCACAAUUGUGUGUGUGCCUGUGGCAAUAAUGCUUAGCCACAUUAGCGGCCGUUUUAUUGUCAGCCUGAGGAGGCCAAGCGGUGCAAGAGAAUCAAAAGGAGUUGAACAAGCUAUUGAACAAGAGAAGCAUAACUUUCGGAAUAAAAGAAAGCAUGAGCAGCGUAAACAUUCACUUUCUAGCCAGCAUUCACUAGCCACUUUGGUUAAAGAUUAGGCGUGUUCGAGCUGUACAUUUCUAAAGCUAUUGAAUAAAAACUGUC